AUUGAACGCUGGCGGCAUGCUUUACACAUGCAAGUCGAACGGUAACAGGGUGCUUGCCCCGCUGCCGAGUGGCGAACGGGUGAGUAAUGCAUCGGAAUGUACCGUGUAAUGGGGGAUAGCUCGGCGAAAGCCGGAUUAAUACCGCAUACGCCCUGAGGGGGAAAGUGGGGGACCGAAAGGCCUCACGUUAUACGAGCAGCCGAUGUCUGAUUAGCUAGUUGGUGAGGUAAAGGCUCACCAAGGCGUCGAUCAGUAGCGGGUCUGAGAGGAUGAUCCGCCACACUGGGACUGAGACACGGCCCAGACUCCUACGGGAGGCAGCAGUGGGGAAUUUUGGACAAUGGGCGCAAGCCUGAUCCAGCCAUGCCGCGUGUCUGAAGAAGGCCUUCGGGUUGUAAAGGACUUUUGUCCGGGAGCAAAUCCUAGUGGUUAAUAACCGCUGGGUCUGAGAGUACCGGAAGAAUAAGCACCGGCUAACUACGUG
rnacentral:rRNA from 1 species